GGGACUUUAGCUCAGUUGGUAGAGCACCGGCCUUUUAAGCCGAGGGUCGUGGGUUCGAAUCCCACAGGUCCCACCA
rnacentral:tRNA from 2 species